rnacentral:rRNA from 1 species
CAGCUAGCUGGUAGGGUAAUGGCCUACCAGGGCUGCGAUCGGUAGCUGGUCUGAGAGGACGAUCAGCCACACUGGGAUUGAGAACGGCCCAGACUCCUACGGGAGGCAGCAGUGAGGAAUCUUCCGCAAUGGGCGAAAGCCUGACGGAGCGACGCCGCGUGUGGGAUGAAGUCUCUCGGGAUGUAAACCACUGUCGGAGGGGAAGAGAAUGGACGGUACCCUCCAAGGAAGCCCCGGCUAACUACGUGCCAGCAGUCGCGGUAAUACGUAGGGGGCAAGCGUUACUCGGAUUCACUGGGCGUAAAGCGCGCGUAGGCGGCUGGUCAAGCGUGGUGUGAAAUCUCCGGGCUCAACCCGGAAACUGCAUCGCGAACUGGCCUGGCUGGAGUGCAGGAGAGGG